rnacentral:rRNA from 1 species
GUGGGGAAUAUUGGACAAUGGGCGAAAGCCUGAUCCAGCCAUGCCGCGUGUGUGAAGAAGGUCUUCGGAUUGUAAAGCACUUUAAGUUGGGAGGAAGGGCAGUAAGUUAAUACCUUGCUGUUUUGACGUUACCGACAGAAUAAGCACCGGCUAACUUCGUGCCAGCAGCCGCGGUAAUACGAAGGGUGCAAGCGUUAAUCGGAAUUACUGUGCGUAAAGCGCGCGUAGGUGGUUUUGUAAGUUGGAGGUGAAAUCCCAGGGGUCAACCGGGGAACUGCCUCAAAAACUGCAUGACUAGAGGACGGUAGAGGGGAGUGGAAUUUCCUGUGUAGCGGUGAAAUGCGUAGAUAUAGGAAGGAACACCAGUGGCGAAGGCGACUACCUGGACUGAUACUGACACUGAGGUGCGAAAGCGUGGGGAGCAAACAGGAUUAGAAACCCCAGUAGUCC